AUUGGACGCUGGCGGCAGGCCUAACACAUGCAAGUCGAGCGGAUGAAGAGAGCUUGCUCCUGGAUUCAGCGGCGGACGGGUGAGUAAUGCCUAGGAAUCUGCCUGGUAGUGGGGGAUAACGUCCGGAAACGGGCGCUCAUACCGCAUACGUCCUGAGGGAGUACGUGGGGGAUCUUCGGACCUCACGCCAUCAGAUGAGCCUAUGUCGGAUUAGCUAGUUGGUGGGGUAAAGGCCUACCAAGGCGACGAUCCGUAGCUGGUCUGAGAGGAUGAUCAGUCACACUGGAACUGAGACACGGUCCAGACUCCUACGGGAGGCAGCAGUGGGGAAUAUUGGACAAUGGGCGAAAGCCUGAUCCAGCCAUGCCGCGUGUGUGAAGAAGGUCUUCGGAUUGUAAAGCACUUUAAGUUGGGAGGAAGAGCAGUAAGUUAAUACCUUGCUGUUUUGACGUUACCAACAGAAUAAGCACCGGCUAACUUCGUG
rnacentral:rRNA from 1 species